ACGGGAGGCAGCAGUGGGGAAUAUUGCACAAUGGAGGAAACUCUGAUGCAGCGACGCCGCGUGAGUGAUGAAGUAUCUCGGUAUGUAAAGCUCUAUCAGUAGGGAAGAUAAUGACGGUACCUAACUAAGAAGCACCGGCUAAAUACGUGCCAGCAGCCGCGGUAAUACGUAUGGUGCAAGCGUUAUCCGGAUUUACUGGGUGUAAAGGGAGCGUAGGUGGUUUGGCAAGCCAGAAGUGAAAACCCGGGGCGCAACCCCGUGGAUUGCUUUUGGAACUGUUGAACUAGAGUGCAGGAGGGGUAAGCGGAAUUCCCAGUGUAGCGGUGAAAUGCGUAGAUAUUGGGAGGAACACCAGUGGCGAAGGCGGCUUACUGGACUGAUUACUGACACUGAGGCUCGAAGGCGUGGGGAGCAAACAGGAUUAGAUACCCUGGUA
rnacentral:rRNA from 1 species